rnacentral:lncRNA from 1 species
UGAACAAGAGAAAAUCUCCCCCUCAUGUCACCGCUCUGAAGAGACAGAGUCAGCGACAGUGGCGGCAGCGAGGGUGGGAAAGGGGCACUUCAGCCAUGGAGAGAACAUUGUUCUUAACAGCACUUCUUUGCCUUGGCUCGGCCUCUAAGGACCAUGCUGCCCUUGGCGUAUAUCAGACCCCGCUCUGUAUCUCUGCGGAUGUGGGGACGGAGCCCAUUAUGGAGUGCAGGUUCCCUCCCAUGGAGGCAAGUGAAAUAGUUUUUAUCUCAUGGUACAAAGAGGGAGAGACACUAAACUCAUCAGACAGCCGCCUCCUACGGUCUGUAACCCUCACAGCAGGGUCUGGUACUCUCAGGAUAUCCCAUGUGCAGACUAAGGAUGCUGGAGUCUAUACCUGUGAGAUGGGGAAUAUCACCCACAGGUCUACCGGGAAUGGCACAAAACUAGAAGUCCAUGAUUCAACCCCACCUACGAAUCAAUCUGCAAUGGAAGGAUGUGUUUGGGUUACUGCACCUCAGGAAGAGAAAGUGGCAACAUCUGUAGGCAUUAAUAUUCUGCUUCUCAGAAGCGUCGUUGGAGCGGUGCUCUUGUUGACUCUAGUGCUUGCGGUCAUCAUCGUCCAUUUCAUGUCAGGUCUCAUUGGAUACUCAGAAUAACCCAACCUGCUGGAAGCAUCAGGACAUCGAAAGGAACAAGCUCUUUGCUCUGCCGCCCCCCCAAAAUCAGCAGUGCCCUACACAAUAUUGAACUGCCAAUCUUGUCCCACUAAUGAGAAAGGAAAACCCAACCUUCCCCUCCCCCUCCAGAGCACCUGGUCACCCAGCAGCUCCUGGCCAUUCACCAGCAGGUGUCUCUCCUA